UCUCAGAUUAAGGCCUAAAAAUUCAAGACAUUUGUAAAUUAGAUGAAACAAUUAAAGCUAUAAAAUUUUUAUUGACUCUUAGAUAAUAGUAAAGUUUUAAGAUUAAAACAAUUGUUUUAUAAAGACAAAAGAGGGAAAAAUAUGUGCCAGCUCCAGCGGUAAAACAUAUAUCUUGUUUAAUUUUUACGAGGUCAGAAUUAAAAAUUUUUUAUAAAAUUAAAAUUUAAUAAGUCUAAUUUUAUAUUUAAGAUUAAAUCUUUAAUAAUUCAUAAGAAACGGCAAACUGGGAUUAGAUACCCCACUAUAAAUCGAAAAUUAUCAUCCUUUGGCGACACAACAAAAAUUUAUGGCGGCUCUUAUUCAUAUUAGAGGCUUAUGAGCCUAAAAGAUGAUCCCCUAAAAUCUUACUUUAGUUUGUUUAUACAUUUUUUAUAUCGCCGUUUAAAGAAAGUUUUUUAAAUUACUUUCUUCAUAAUCAAUUACUCCUAAAAACAGGUAAAGAUGAAGAUUACACUAAAGGAAACUUGUAAGCCAUUAAAUUAAAUGUUAAUAAUUAUUAAGAUAUAAAAAGAAUUUAAAAGUAAAAUUUUUUUAUUAUAAAAAUUUGAAGAAUGUUAAUAAGAGUGUACAAACCGCCCGUCACUUCUAGUUCCUAUAGAAUAAGUCGUAACAAGGUUAAUUUACUGGAAAGUGAAAUAA
rnacentral:ncRNA from 1 species